UGGGGAUAUUGGCACAAUGGAGGAAACUACUGAUGCAGCAACGCCGCGUGAGGGAAGAAGGUCUUCGGAUUGUAAACCUUAGUAGUCAGGGACGAAAGAAAUGACGGUACCUGAAGAGUAAGCUCCGGCUAACUACGUGCCAGCAGCCGCGGUAAUACGUAGGGAGCGAGCGUUGUCCGGAUUUACUGGGUGUAAAGGGUGCGUAGGCGGGACUGCAAGUCAGACGUGAAAUACCGAGGCUUAACUUCGGGGCUGCGUUUGAAACUGUGGUUCUUGAGUGAAGUAGAGGCAGGCGGAAUUCCUAGUGUAGCGGUGAAAUGCGUAGAUACUAGGAGGAACACCAGUGGCGAAGGCGGCCUGCUGGGCUUUAACUGACGCUGAAGCACGAAAGCAUGGGGAGCAAACAGGAUUUAGAUACCCCUGGUAGUCCCAUGCCGUAAAACGAUGAUAGCUAGGUGUGGGGGGACUGACCCCUUCCGUGCCGCAGCAAACGCAAUAAGCUAUCCACCUGGGGAGUACG
rnacentral:rRNA from 1 species